GGAGGGAUGGCCGAGCGGUCGAAGGCGCACGCCUGGAAAGUGUGUAUACGGUAAAACGUAUCGUGGGUUCGAAUCCCACUCCCUCCGCCA
rnacentral:tRNA from 1 species